CGGGACGAGCAGACAGUCGCCGCGUAUCGCGUAAGGCAUACGGGGAGGAAAGUCCGGGCUCCGCAGGGUAGAAUGCCGGUUAACGGCCGGGCGCGGUAACGCGACGGAAAGUGGAACAGAAAGCAAAACCGCCGAUGGCUGCUUUGGCAGCACAGGCAAGGGUGAAAAGGUGCGGUAAGGGCGCACCGCGCAUUUGGUAACAAUAUGCGGCAGGCCAAACCCCAUUCGGAGCAAGACCAAACAGAACGCAAUGACGCUGCCCGCCGAGCGUCUGAAGCACCAAGUGAAUCGGUUCCGUACUGUUUGUACUGUCUGCGGCUUCGUCGCCUUGUCCUGAUUU
rnacentral:RNase_P_RNA from 1 species